UAGAAAUUUAUUUUUCAGAAUUAAUUCAGAAGACGACUUGAAGAUGAAGCUAACAUUACUAAUUCUGUCACUAUUCAUUAUUGGUAUGGCUUCAGCCGACAUAGCAAGAUUUUCUGAGUUGCUUCAAAAAUCUAGAAGACAGGUAUCAGAGCCCUUUUGUAUAGACGAUUUAGACUGUGGAUUUUCACCUCUGACUUGCAACACUGCUUGUGUCAACAUUCUGAAGUGUUUAUUUGCUUUCUGCCACGAGGACAAGGAAUGUUGCUGCUAUGGUUGCCCUUAGAUAUCAAUAAAUUUUGUUUCUCAGAAAUAUA